GUGAAUCCCGGGCACAAAGCCUUGCAAAUGUCUUCAUACCUACUGGACGUUUUCACAUUUUAGUGUUAACAUGACACACUUCAAAAUCACCAAGAAGAGAAGUGUCCUGAUGUUAGGGACAUUGAAGCCAAGUACAAGACAGUCAGCUCAGUUCAGUUCAUUUCCACAGCACCAAUUCACUCAAGAUGCCGUCUCAAGGCACUUUAUGAAGAAAGUCAUUUCAGUUCUAUCACACAUGCAUUCAAAUUAAUCCUACACUGCAAAAACACUAAAUCUUACUAAGAAUUACUUAAACUUCUAUAUCCUGCUGAAAACUUAGUUGCAAGUUAGUUUUGUCUUAUUUCAAGUGUACUAAGAUAUUUUCUCUAGAUAUUAGAC